rnacentral:lncRNA from 1 species
AAAUGAGUUAGAUUGGCAUUCAACCUCUAAUUCAGGUCAGCUUUAUAUGAACUCGACCUCCAAUUUAGUUCAGCAUUCAGCUUCCAAUUUAGAUCGGCUUCAUGACAGACAGCCUCCAAUUCAGAUCAGUUUUAUAGUGACCUCAGCUUUCUUAUCAGGAUGAAUUUCUAGUGACCUCAAGUUUAGGUCGGUACAGCUUCCAAUUC